GGAUUCAUGAAUUUUUUUUAUUACCUGUUGGAUUUCAUUAGUUGUAUUACAAUAAAAAAAGUCAUCUUUUGUUUUUGAUACAAAUUCGAGCAUCAAAUUCUGAUGUUUGGUAUAUGAGAUUUAUGGUUUACUUCAGGACUUGGGAGGCUGAUUUUUGUUUAUUUUAGUCUCUUGAAAGAUUAUAGACAUCUUCAAAGUGGGAAAUAAAAACGAAAACUUUGGUCAAGUUGU